AGGCGCCGCUACUGUCGCGAUUUCAAAGCCAGUAUGCAGUGUCUCGAACAGCUUUCAAGUGCUUACUAAUAUAGCACAACAAAAAACCCAAAGAAAUAAAUAUCAAAACGUUUUAUACUUGUGAAUCGGUCUGUAAUACAAGAAUAAUAAAACGUCACAUGCCUGAUAAACACAACGUAAUAACAAACCCAAUAAUAUUGUAAAUGAACAUUUCAAAACUAGAAAAUAUUAAUUGCGCAAAUUAAAUCUUCAAGAUGCAGUUCGAUAACACCUGUCAUUAUUGAGAGUCAUUGCACAACCAAAAUUAGACGAAAAUUACCACGUGAAUCUCGUUCUUCCUCACUGUACUUGAUUCCAAGAAACGUGAGACCGGAAAGAUCGAGGAUGGCUGAGAAAGUAACGAAGAAUCAAAAAUUGCAUGAACAGUCAAUGAAAACCGCAAUACAAUCUCAACUCUCCAAAAUAAAAAAGGAGGAAGAAGAAGAAUUAUGGAUAUCAGGGGAAGAAUUGUAUACGGAGGGUAGCAGUGACGAAGAAGAGUACGAAGCGCAAUUACGAUCGCGCCACAAAAUCAAUAGCAAUCAAUCAUCACGCACCUCUUCGGCUAAUCCUAGUGUCGAACGACGAGGUCAUUCACCUGUUCCAUGUGAGAUCAAGUCGAAAUCAGACAAUUCUAUGGGUGCUCGUAAGGAUAAUAUUACUGAAAAUCAAUUUAUGCUGAAAUUUGUAUCGCAAUAUGACAAAACCUCGUCGAAAGAUUCGAGUCGAACGCCGUCAAUGGAAUCUCCAAGAUCCGAUCGUCUUCCUACAACGGAAACAUCUAUGAGUUCAGUUACAAAAGAUUUUUCUGAACUUUCAACCACGGAAGACCGAAUAGAAAAUAUGGAAAUUUCAUGGAAAGCAAACAAAGGUACCUUCGUCUUACCUAACUCUAGUAACGAUAUAAAAAAAGAGACAAACAAAUGCUGACAUAUUGAGAAAGUUGCAUUUUCAUUGUUAUAUUCUUAUUAAUUCGUUCCAAAAGUGUUUAUUCUGUUCACUAUGUUCUAUAUACUUACGUAAACUAUUUAACCUGAAAUAAUUCCUUAAAUAUUCGAUUUGAUGUUGCUUCCACUGCACAUCUCAACAUUUUUCGCUAUGUACUUCGUUACAUACAUACAUAAGAUUCGGUAAAACAAAUUGUACUUAAUUAGAGUUGUUACAUAACAAUGAAGAAUUGUUCGGAAGUGAAUGGGAUGAUGACAUUAAUAUUUCAAAUAUUGCUGCGCAAGAUGAAUGUAUACGAAAAGAAAUUUUAGAAGUGGAAAAUCUUGAUAACGUUAUACACGUAAUGAACGAUAAAGUAAAAGUAAAUUGCUUGUUAUUGUAAGAUGAAACACCGAUCAUUUUUUUAACACUGUAAGCGAAAAUGUUUUAAUCAUACUGCAGAAAGCAAUCGAAGAAACUGUAUUGUAUCAAUAUGAAAAUCGAAAACGGCUAGAAAAAAUGUUAGAAUCGAAUCCGUCUGAAACUGGUAAAUUAGCAGAAAAUACGCGGCAGUUCUUUUACUUAUGUCCCAAAUAUACAACCCUAAAUACAGGUAUGACAAUAAAGUUAUAAUGCGCGAAAGAAUUCCAUAAUAAUAUAUUAAUCAAGAGAUUAUUGGAUAUUUUAAAUAGUAUAUAUUUUAUAUCUAUAUAUCUAAUAUUAUUUUUAUUUACAUAAUUAAAAAGUCUAACAAAAAAAUUGUAUUUUAAAAAAUUGCAAAAGCUAGAAUUUCGUAAAUGUAACGACUCGAACAUAUUGACCGAGACGAAUAAUUAUGAACGGCGACUAUCUCAAAAUAAAGAUGGUAUAAAUCUUUUAAAUCUUGAUAGCAAAGUAAGUUAUAUUAAUAAUCGUACUGUAUGAGAAUUACAAUUUUUCAUUUAUUUUUCUCAAACUUUAUCUCUUACCGGAAAGGAUAAAUGGGAGUUUAUUGAUUCAACUUAUUAUGUUGAAAAUAUAAAUGAUGUAAUAGAAGAUUCUAGUAGUAAUCCAUAUAUGAUGAAUGCAGAGAUGAAAGAAAUGUUAUUAAAAUUGAAUAAAAGAGAAAAUUUAUCUAAUAAACAAGCAUCUCUAAAAGAAAAUGACAGUAUAUUUGAUAUAAAUAAUGCAAUUUCGACAUUUGAUAAUAUAUCAACAAUAGAAAGUGUGCAGGAUAUUUAUAAUGAUCUUAUAGAUGAAGUAAUAAAGGAAACUCAAAUUAUUAAUACAUCAUCAGCUGUAAAUGUCGCUGAAAACGAAUUAAACAUGUAAAAUGGAUCAUUUCUCUAAAUUUAUAUAAUUAACUUCAUACUGUUACAACUUUGUCAAAGUGUAUUAAGUAAUAGAUAUAUUAUUUACAAUAUAUAUGAAAUAUUUUUUUAUGAAAUUUCUGUACAUUAUUCGAAAUAUACAGGAUACAUAAUAUUUAGUUUGCGGUGCCUAUUCAUACUACAUAAUUGAGGAAUUUAAAAUUAUAAAUUUCUAUAAACUCUCUAUGGUUAAAAUACAGCUAUUAAUAUUUUUUGAUUAUGUAAUACUUUUAACAAAACAAAAAAUUCUCCUGAAAUAACAAUUUUCUUUUACUGAACACAAUAUGUAUUAA